rnacentral:tRNA from 1 species
GGGGUUGUGGCUCAGUGGUAGAGCGCUUGCCCAGCAUGUGUGAGUCAUUGGGUUCAAUCCUCAGCACCU